GUGCUCACUUCAGCAGCACCUAUACUCAAAUUGGAACGACACAGAGAUUAGCAUGGCCUCUGCACAAGGAUGACACAAAAAUUCAUGAAGUGUUCUGUAUUUUC
ensembl:snRNA U6 U6 spliceosomal RNA